UACGUAGGGUGCAAGCGUUAAUCGGAAUUACUGGGCGUAAAGCGUGCGCAGGCGGCUUUGCAAGUCAGAUGUGAAAUCCCCGGGCUCAACCUGGGAACUGCAUUUGUGACUGCAUGGCUGGAGUGCGGCAGAGGGGGAUGGAAUUCCGCGUGUAGCAGUGAAAUGCGUAGAUAUGCGGAGGAACACCGAUGGCGAAGGCAGUCCCCUGGGCCUGCACUGACGCUGAUGCACGAAAGCGUGGGGAGCAAACAGG
rnacentral:rRNA from 1 species